UACGUAGGGUGCAAGCGUUGUCCGGAAUUAUUGGGCGUAAAGAGCUCGUAGGCGGUUUGUCGCGUCGAAUGUGAAAACCCGGGGCUCAACCCCGGGCCUGCAUUCGAUACGGGCAGACUAGAGUUCGGUAGGGGAGUCUGGAAUUCCUGGGUGAGCGGGUGAAAUGCGCAGAUAUCAGGAGGAACACCGGUGGCGAAGGCGGGACUCUGGGCCGAU
rnacentral:rRNA from 1 species